GGUGCUUCUGCCCUUACAGAGGCAGCCGCGGUUCAGGCGCAUCCACCACCAGAGCGGAGAGUCUCUGCGCAGCGAUCACCAGCUUCUCUCUUUUCGCCAGUGGGGUUGCAGGCAGCACUGUCCCAGGGAAUCCGAAGAGAAGUCCCUUCACCUCCACUGACACUGGUCGCCUCCUCCACAGCAAGCAGAGCCCCCUGGGUGUCCUCUCCCUCCUGAUGCCCCGCCCUCCCAGGGCGCCUAGGUCUCCGCGCCUGCACAAGGGGGUUGGGGGGUGGGGGGAACCUGCCAGCAAGCCCUCAGCGCCGCAGCUGGAGCGACAGCCACCGCUGGGCUCAGAGACACUUAGUGGGGAGGAGAGGGAGGGGAUGAAGGCAGGGCGGGAGAUGCGGGGCGGGGGGAUGGAGCCAAGAGGAGGAAAUAAAUAAAUAAAACAAUAACCUCCGCGCCAAUAAGAGCGAGGGAGAGAGAAAGACGCGGCCAGAGAGCCACCGGUGCCAGUCCGCUCGCCUGUGACAGGCUCUCUGCGCGCGCGUGUGUGUGCGUGAGUGUGUAUUCGCUGGGACUGGAGCUGGAAAGUUCAAACUAAACGUGUUGCUCUCCCCGGUGACCGAGGCUCGCCACGGAGGCUCUGCCCAACUUCUCUGGGCCAAGUGACUGGCAGUGCCCGGCGCCCUUGGCGCGUCGCAGGCUGCUCGGCCCCGCGCCCGGGCGCAGCGGCGGCAGCGUCUCCGGUCAACCUGGGAAGGAGCCUCACGGCCAGGGCUGGACGCUCGCCCCGACAGAUCGCGGACUCUCGGGGUCCUGGGCUAGCACCCUGGCAACCAGAGAAAGAAUUGAGCACAGUAAUCAUAAGAACUAAAGGAAAGAGAUAAAAAUAACCUAUGGAUAUUCCUCUACUGUGACAUUUAUUCCGAAUGAAACAUUGAAACAACUCACAGAUGUGGAUACUGUGAAUUGCUACCAGAAGCCAGUUUUCCUUUAAAACGCACUAACUUCAAACUCUGGUGGUGAAUAUAGACUUUCCUCAAGAAAACAACUGCUGGUGAUGCAAUUAAAUUCUUCUGAAGACUAGAGUUUCUGUAAGUAUUAAUCACUUACUUUAUUUAUUUUUACAUGAACAAUAAGCAUUCUAAGAAUUUACCUUACUAUCUUAAAAUUGGUGAGAAUUUUUAGCAUACUUUUC